UACGUAGGGUGCGAGCGUUGUCCGGAAUUAUUGGGCGUAAAGAGCUUGUAGGCGGUUUGUCGCGUUUGCUGUGAAAAUCCGGGGCUCAACCCCGGACUUGCAGUGGGUACGGGCAGACUAGAGUGUGGUAGGGGAGACUGGAAUUCCUGGUGUAGCGGUGGAAUGCGCAGAUAUCAGGAGGAACACCGAUGGCGAAGGCAGGUCUCUGGGCCACUACUGACGCUGAGAAGCGAAAGCAUGGGGAGCGAACAGG
rnacentral:rRNA from 1 species